rnacentral:misc_RNA from 1 species
GUGAAUCAUCGAAUUUUUGAACGCAAAUUGCACUUUCUGGUAUUCCGGAAAGUAUGCCUGUUUGAGGGUCAGUUAAAUAAAAAUCGGUGUUGUUGCUGCCUUUCGUGGUGACGCGUCGGAAUUGGGUCGUCUUACCUUCGGUUAGGUGACUUAAAAUUUUUCCUGGUUUUCCGACCUAUUUAAAAUGCUUUAGUAAGUUUGAAGUU